rnacentral:rRNA from 1 species
UACGUAGGGUGCAAGCGUUGUCCGGAAUUAUUGGGCGUAAAGAGCUUGUAGGCGGUUUGUCGCGUCUGCUGUGAAAAUCCGGGGCUCAACCCCGGACUUGCAGUGGGUACGGGCAGACUAGAGUGUGGUAGGGGAGACUGGAAUUCCUGGUGUAGCGGUGAAAUGCGUAGAGAUCGGGAAGAACGCCAAGGGCGAAGGCACUCUGCUAGGCCUGAUUUCGCGACUGACACUCAGGGACGAGAGCCAGGGGAGCGAAUGGG